rnacentral:rRNA from 1 species
GAUGAACGCUGGCGGCGUGCCUAAUACAUGCAAGUCGAGCGAACAGACGAGGAGCUUGCUCCUCUGACGUUAGCGGCGGACGGGUGAGUAACACGUGGAUAACCUACCUAUAAGACUGGGAUAACUUCGGGAAACCGGAGCUAAUACCGGAUAAUAUAUUGAACCGCAUGGUUCAAUAGUGAAAGACGGUUUUGCUGUCACUUAUAGAUGGAUCCGCGCCGCAUUAGCUAGUUGGUAAGGUAACGGCUUACCAAGGCAACGAUGCGUAGCCGACCUGAGAGGGUGAUCAGCCACACUGAAACUGAGACACGGUCCAGACUCCUACGGGAGGCAGCAGUAGGGAAUCUUCCGCAAUGGGCGAAAGCCUGACGGAGCAACGCCGCGUGAGUGAUGAAGGUCUUCGGAUCGUAAAACUCUGUUAUUAGGGAAGAACAAAUGUGUAAGUAACUAUGCACGUCUUUACGGUACCUAAUCAGAAAGCCACGGCUAACUACGUG